rnacentral:ncRNA from 1 species
CAAAGGCUUGGUCCUGACUUUACUAUCAACUCUAGCCAAAUUUACACAUGCAAGUCUCCGCCUCCCUGUGAGAAUGCCCUCAUUUGUUCCCGACCGGAAAAGAGGAGCUGGUAUCAGGCACAACCCUAGAGCCCACCACACCUUGCUUAGCCACACCCUCAAGGGAAUUCAGCAGUGAUAAACAUUAAGCUAUAAGUGAAAACUUGACUUAGUUAAAGCUAAGAGGGCCGGUAAAACUCGUGCCAGCCACCGCGGUUAUACGAGUAGGCCCAAGUUGAUAAAUACCGGCGUAAAGCGUGGUUAAGGAAACACUUAUACUAAAGUCGAACACCCUCAAGGCUGUUAUACGCAUCCGAGGGUAUGAAGAACCACCACGAAAGUGACUUUAACAAUAGCCUGAACCCACGAAAGCUAAGAUACAAACUGGGAUUAGAUACCCCACUAUGCUUAGCCCUAAAUAUAGAUAGUACACUACCCCACUAUCCGCCAGGGGACUACGAGCAAGAGCUUAAAACCCAAAGGACUUGGCGGUGCUUUAGACCCACCUAGAGGAGCCUGUUCUAGAACCGAUAACCCCCGUUAAACCUCACCCCUCCUUGUUUUCCCCGCCUAUAUACCGCCGUCGUCAGCUUACCCUGUGAAGGUCACAUAGUAGGCAAUGUUGGCACAGCCCAAAACGUCAGGUCGAGGUGUAGCGCAUGGAGGGGGAAGAAAUGGGCUACAUUUUCUAUUUAAGAAAAUUACGGAGGAUGAGCUGAAAUACUCACCCAAAGGAGGAUUUAGCAGUAAGCAGAAAAUAGAGUGUUCUGCUGAAACUGGCCCUGAAGCGCGCACACACCGCCCGUCACUCUCCCCAAGAACUUUUAAAGAUUUUAAUUAAAACACUACAUUCACAAAGGGGAGGCAAGUCGUAACAUGGUAAGUGUACCGGAAGGUGCACUUGGAAAAAC